UAGGGGUUAGUCGGUUCCUAAGGCGAGGCUGAAAAGCGUAGUCGAUGGGAAACAGGUUAAUAUUCCUGUACUUCUGGUUACUGCGAUGGAGGGACGGAGAAGGCUAGGCCAGCUUGGCGUUGGUUGUCCAAGUUUAAGGUGGUAGGCUGAAAUCUUAGGUAAAUCCGGGGUUUCAAGGCCGAGAGCUGAUGACGAGUCGUCUUUUAGAUGACGAAGUGGUUGAUGCCAUGCUUCCAAGAAAAGCUUCUAAGCUUCAGGUAACCAGGAACCGUACCCCAAACCGACACAGGUGGUCGGGUAGAGAAUACCAAGGCGCUUGAGAGAACUCGGGUGAAGGAACUAGGCAAAAUGGCACCGUAACUUCGGGAGAAGGUGCGCCGGCUAGGGUGAAGGAUUUACUCCGUAAGCUCUGGCUGGUCGAAGAUACCAGGCCGCUGCGACUGUUUAUUAAAAACACAGCACUCUGCAAACACGAAAGUGGACGUAUAGGGUGUGACGCCUCCCCGGUGCCGGAAGGUUAAUUGAUGGGGUUAGCGCAAGCGAAGCUCUUGAUCGAAGCCCCGGUAAACGGCGGCCGUAACAAUAACGGUCCUAAGGUAGCGAAAUUCCUUGUCGGGUAAGUUCCGACCUGCACGAAUGGCGUAACGAUGGCGGCGCUGUCUCCACCCGAGACUCAGUGAAAUUGAAAUCGCUGUGAAGAUGCAGUGUAUCCGCGGCUAGACGGAAAGACCCCGUGAACCUUUACUGUAGCUUUGCACUGGACUUUGAGCCUGCUUGUGUAGGAUAGGUGGGAGGCUUUGAAGCGUGGACGCCAGUUCGCGUGGAGCCAUCCUUGAAAUACCACCCUGGCAUGCUUGAGGUUCUAACUCUGGUCCGUAAUCCGGAUCGAGGACAGUGUAUGGCGGGCAGUUUGACUGGGGCGGUCUCCUCCUAAAGAGUAACGGAGGAGUACGAAGGUGCGCUCAGACCGGUCGGAAAUCGGUCGCAGAGUAUAAAGGCAAAAGCGCGCUUGACUGCGGGACAGACACGUCGAGCAGGUACGAAAGUAGGUCUUAGUGAUCCGGUGGUUCUGUAUGGAAGGGCCAUCGCUCAACGGAUAAAAGGUACUCCGGGGAUAACAGGCUGAUACCGCCCAAGAGUUCAUAUCGACGGCGGUGUUUGGCACCUCGAUGUCGGCUCAUCACAUCCUGGGGCUGAAGCCGGUCCCAAGGGUAUGGCUGUUCGCCAUUUAAAGUGGUACGCGAGCUGGGUUUAGAACGUCGUGAGACAGUUCGGUCCCUAUCUGCCGUGGACGUUUGAGAUUUGAGAGGGGCUGCUCCUAGUACGAGAGGACCGGAGUGGACGAACCUCUGGUGUUCCGGUUGUCACGCCAGUGGCAUUGCCGGGUAGCUAUGUUCGGAAAAGAUAACCGCUGAAAGCAUCUAAGCGGGAAACUUGCCUCAAGAUGAGAUCUCACUGGGAACUUGAUUCCCCUGAAGGGCCGUCGAAGACUACGACGUUGAUAGGCUGGGUGUGUAAGCGUUGUGAGGCGUUGAGCUAACCAGUACUAAUUGCCCGUGAGGCUUGACC
rnacentral:rRNA from 1 species